UACGUAGGGUGCAAGCGUUAAUCGGAAUUACUGGGCGUAAAGCGUGCGCAGGCGGUUUUGUAAGUCUGUCGUGAAAUCCCCGGGCUUAACCUGGGAAUUGCGAUGAAGACUGCAAGGCUAGAAUCUGGCAGAGGGGGGUAGAAUUCCACGUGUAGCAGUGAAAUGCGUAGAGAUGUGGAGGAACACCGAUGGCGAAGGCAGCCCCCUGGGUCAAGAUUGACGCUCAUGCACGAAAGCGUGGGGAGCAAACGGG
rnacentral:rRNA from 1 species